rnacentral:piRNA from 1 species
UACUAGACGUUCGCAUCAUUU